AGACCCGAAACCCGGUGAUCUAGCCAUGGGCAGGUUGAAGGUUGGGUAACACUAACUGGAGGACCGAACCGACUAAUGUUGAAAAAUUAGCGGAUGACCUGUGGCUGGGGGUGAAAGGCCAAUCAAACCGGGAGAUAGCUGGUUCUCCCCGAAAGCUAUUUAGGUAGCGCCUCGUGAAUUCAUCUCCGGGGGUAGAGCACUGUUUCGGCUAGGGGGCCAUCCCGGCUUACCAACCCGAUGCAAACUGCGAAUACCGGAGAAUGUUAUCACGGGAGACACACGGCGGGUGCUAACGUCCGUCGUGAAGAGGGAAACAACCCAGACCGCCAGCUAAGGUCCCAAAGUCAUGGUUAAGUGGGAAACGAUGUGGGAAGGCCCAGACAGCCAGGAUGUUGGCUUAGAAGCAGCCAUCAUUUAAAGAAAGCGUAAUAGCUCACUGGUCGAGUCGGCCUGCGCGGAAGAUGUAACGGGGCUAAACCAUGCACCGAAGCUGCGGCAGCGACGCUUAUGCGUUGUUGGGUAGGGGAGCGUUCUGUAAGCCUGUGAAGGUGUGUCGUGAGGCAUGCUGGAGGUAUCAGAAGUGCGAAUGCUGACAUAAGUAACGAUAAAGCGGGUGAAAAGCCCGCUCGCCG
rnacentral:rRNA from 1 species